AGUGAACGCUGGCGGUAGGCCUAACACAUGCAAGUCGAACGGCAGCACAGUAAGAGCUUGCUCUUACGGGUGGCGAGUGGCGGACGGGUGAGGAAUACAUCGGAAUCUACUUUUUCGUGGGGGAUAACGUAGGGAAACUUACGCUAAUACCGCAUACGACCUACGGGUGAAAGCAGGGGAUCUUCGGACCUUGCGCGAUUGAAUGAGCCGAUGUCGGAUUAGCUAGUUGGCGGGGUAAAGGCCCACCAAGGCGACGAUCCGUAGCUGGUCUGAGAGGAUGAUCAGCCACACUGGAACUGAGACACGGUCCAGACUCCUACGGGAGGGAGCAGUGGGGAAUGUUGGACAAUGGGCGCAAGCCUGAUCCAGCCAUACCGCGUGGGUGAAGAAGGCGUUCGGGUUGUAAAGACCUUUUGUUGGGAAAGAAAAGCAGCAGGUUAAUACCCCGCUGUUCUGACGGUACCCAAAGAAUAAGCACCGGCUAACUUCGUG
rnacentral:rRNA from 1 species